ACACGUGAGCAACCUGCCUUUCAGUGGGGGACGAACAUUUGGAAACGAAUGCUAAUACCGCAUAAGACCACAGUGUCGCAUGGCACAGGGGUCAAAGGAUUUAUCCGCUGAAAGAUGGGCUCGCGUCCGAUUAGCUAGAUGGUGAGGUAACGGCCCACCAUGGCGACGAUCGGUAGCCGGACUGAGAGGUUGAACGGCCACAUUGGGACUGAGACACGGCCCAGACUCCUACGGGAGGCAGCAUG
rnacentral:rRNA from 1 species